GGGCCCGCACAAGUAGUGGAGCAUGUGGUUUAAUUCGAAGAUACGCGCAGAACCUUACCAACACUUGACAUGUUCGUCGCGACUCUAAGAGAUUAGAGUUUUCGGUUCGGCCGGACGAAACACAGGUGCUGCAUGGCUGUCGUCAGCUCGUGUCGUGAGAUGUUGGGUUAAGUCCCGCAACGAGCGCAACCCUCACUUUUAGUUGCCAUCAUUUAGUUGGGCACUCUGAAAGAACUGCCAGUGAUAAGCUGGAGGAAGGUGGGGAUGACGUCAAGUCCUCAUGGCCCUUACGUGUUGGGCUACACACGUGCUACAAUGGCAUCUACAAUAGGAAGCAAGAUGGCGACAUCAAGCAAAUCCUAAAAAGAUGCCUCAGUUCGGAUUGCACUCUGCAACUCGAGUGCAUG
rnacentral:rRNA from 1 species